UAUUAGACUAACGUUCUUCAACCCAAAGAAUAUGGCGGUGUUUUUUCAUAAUUAGAGGAACCUGUCUAUUAAUUCGAUAAUCCACGAAAAUCUUACUUAAAUUAAAAGAAUUAGAAGCUUGUAUACCGUCGUUUGAAAUAAUAUUUAAAAAUCUUAUUACCAUAUAUUAUAAAUAAAUUAAAGGUCAGAUCAUGGCACAGCUAUAUUUAAGGUCAAAUUGGUUACAUUCUAUAAUCUAUCGACAGAAAAUAAAAUGAAAAAUUAUUUCAAGCCGAAUCUAAACGUAAUUAAAUAAGUUAUAAACUUUUAAUGAAUAUUACAAAACAUGCACAUAUCGCCCGUCACUCUCA
rnacentral:rRNA from 1 species